rnacentral:ncRNA from 2 species
UCCUCGCACUCUGGAGAGCGGCAGCGGCUUCGUCGAACGAGGCCAGUUGCCCACCGAAGGGGCGCGCGAUGGACCAUCGGCACACGCCGGUGUCCGCGCAAUCUCUCAGGUACCGAGGACAGAGGGGUCACG